AUACGCUGGCGGAUGCUUACCCUGCAGUCGAACGGCAGCACGGACUUCGGUCUGGUGGCGAGUGGCGAACGGGUGAGUAAUAUAUCGGAACGUGCCCAGUCGUGGGGGAUAACGUAGUGAAAAUUACGCUAAUAGCGCAUACGAUCUACGGAUGAAAGCGGGGGAUCGCAAGACCUCGCGCGAUUAGAGCGGCCGAUAUCAGAUUAGGUAGUUGGUGAGGUAAAGGCUCACCAAGCCAACGAUCUGUAGCUGGUCUGAGAGGACGACCAGCCACACUGGAACUGAGACACGGUCCAGACUCCUACGGGAGGCAGCAGUGGGGAAUUUUGGACAAUGGACGCAAGUCUGAUCCAGCCAUUCCGCGUGCAGGACGAAGGCCUUCGGGUUGUAAACUGCUUUUGUACAGAACGAAAAGGUUUCUAUUAAUACUAGGAGCUCAUGACGGUACUGUAAGAAUAAGCACCGGCUAACUACGUGCCAGCAGCCGCGGUAAUACGUAGGGUGCAAGCGUUAAUCGGAAUUACUGGGCGUAAAGCG
rnacentral:rRNA from 1 species